rnacentral:rRNA from 1 species
GACGAACCGCCCGAACGUUAUUCGGAAUCACUGGGCUUAAAGGGAGCGUAGGCGGGCUGCCAAGUCCGGGGUGAAAUCCUCCAGCUUAACUGGAGAACUGCCUCGGAUACUGGAAGUCUCGAGGAGGGUAGGGGCAAGUGGAACCGUGGGUGGAGCGGUGAAAUGCGUUGAUAUCCACAGGAACGUCCGGUGGCGAAGGCGAGGUGCUGGACCCCAUCUGACGCUG